UGGGGAAUAUUGCACAAUGGGCGCAAGCCUGAUGCAGCCAUGCCGCGUGUAUGAAGAAGGCCUUCGGGUUGUAAAGUACUUUCAGCGGGGAGGAAGGGAGUAAAGUUAAUACCUUUGCUCAUUGACGUUACCCGCAGAAGAAGCACCGGCUAACUCCGUGCCAGCAGCCGCGGUAAUACGGAGGGUGCAAGCGUUAAUCGGAAUUACUGGGCGUAAAGCGCACGCAGGCGGUUUGUUAAGUCAGAUGUGAAAUCCCCGGGCUCAACCUGGGAACUGCAUCUGUUACUGGCAAGCUUGAGUCUCGUAGAGGGGGGUAGAAUUCCAGGUGUAGCGGUGAAAUGCGUAGAGAUCUGGAGGAAUACCGGUGGCGAAGGCGGCCCCCUGGACAAAGACUGACGCUCAGGUGCGAAAGCGUGGGGAGCAAACAGG
rnacentral:rRNA from 1 species